CAGGGACAACAGGGUCUUCUAUCUAAGAAACUAAACCGACUUUAGAACAAACUACAGUCCAAGCCAAAAUAUGACACAACAGAACAACCAAAUGCUCUUUGUGAUACUGCUUCUUAGUUUACUGACAGUUGCUCUGUCUUGCCCAUAUCACAGGAGGAUACAUUUAGGACCACGAUCUGACAACAAUGUACCGGAGUCAAGACAGACACUACAAAAACGUAACCUUCGUCUUCCAAAGGGAUUUGAAUGUCCUCCUGAUAUCGGCGACAUCGACUGUUACAACGAACUCAUGGGACUUUGGAUGAGAUUACUCAUGCAGCAAUGACAUCAUCGAUCAACCGGAAGUGCUGUGUAGGCCAUUUUACCAAAAGUGCUAACCGUCAACUUUAUGAUCAAAACUAAUCAAAAUCGUUUAUAAAAAGUCUUUUUUUUUCUAGCAAAAACGAUUGAUUGAAACAACUUUCAAUUGCUAAUGAAAAAAGUGUGACAAUCGUGUAUAUUAAAAACAAUCUCGUAAAUUGCCCAGAAGUGACAUUCUA